UCUCUCUCUGAAAUUGACGGAGAUGAAGUCUAUCUGCGCCACAAUUUCUUACGGGAGACGAUGGAGCCGCUCCAGUCGCCAAACCCUAGUCCGGCAAGCCUCCGUGAAAGCAUAAAGCCUCCAAGGAGAACGAGUCUCCGCCUUCAGAUCUCCUCUUUACGGCCUUGGAUUCGAAGCCUUCGCCAGCGGCCAAGUUGAAUAGUCUGUUGCCGCCACGGCCUUGAGAUGCUUCCUGAGAACUCCGUCCAUGGAGCCUUUGAUUCCGGCGUCCAGAUUGCUAGGUGGAGGAAUGCGCACCUGGAGAAGUACCCUGAUGCGAAAAUAAUUCCCCUUAGAAUUGGUGACACGGAAUUCCAGAAUAUAUAACCUCUGCAAUGGCAAAGGAAAACACCUGAAAGGAGAGAGAUCAAAGAGCAAAACUUUUAUCAGAUGAAGUCUGUGUUCUCCCUUCUUUCAUGGGCUGGUUCCUUCUUGCCUGUCUUGGCUGCAAAAAUGAGUUCAGUAGCAGCGAUCUUGAAGUUUGUUUGCUUGAUACUUUUAUGUGAUCUUUAUGGUACUCUUACAAUUACACAAGCUGUUAUUUUCUGCAACACAAAAAAGAUACAUGUUUAAGUGUCUUUCAAGCUCCACUUGAUCCAAGCAUUGCCUUGGGAGGAUUCUCCGGAAACUACUACUAUGAGUUGAUAAUGUAGGAAAUGAGAAUGGGAAUGCACUGGCUUGGGAGAAGGCUUUUAUUCAGUUAGCAAAGGUUUAAACACUGUGCAAUGCACAUCCUGCAUUGCAUUGUUGCUGUUUCCUGUGGGCAUUUCAGAUUUUAUGCAAAUAUGGAGCAAAUAUAUCGAUUUUCGUAAACUUUUAUGCUAAUGAUACUUGAUAUUGAGAUCUGGAGCAAAUAUGUUUAUAGGAAAAACUGCUGGUGCUGUCUUGGAACUGAGUCUCUCAUUUUCAGCCGAAAGCUCAAUUGAGGAAGAGUUAAAAAGAGAAAGUACUGCUGAUGUUACAACCAUAAUAGUAACCUAUCUGGUAAUGUUCCUUUAUAUAUCUCUGACAUUAGGAGAUGCAACUCAAAUAUCUUCUUUUUACCUCCCGUCUAAGGUACGAUCUUAACCUUCACUUAAGUAUCUUCUAUUCCUUAUAUAGAUCAAUUCCCUUGCUGAUGUCACAAAUGAUUCUUUUCUGGGCUGAACCACGAACAUGAUGAAGUGUGGUUUUUACUCAUCCAUCAUUUCUCAUGAUUUAUUAUUACAAUCUCGUUCCUCUGGUCCUUCUUUACAUGUCUAAAGGUGAAGCCAAAGCAAUGUUUUCAAGGUACGAAGGGUUUCUUGGAGCAUUGGGUGCAUUCAUGAGCUAUGAAAAGCAUGGCUUUGAUAACUUGAUGGUCUAUCAGUUAGUGCAACAAUCCCCAAUCGGUGGAUUCCAUGGAGGAGAUAAAACUCAUGGUCCUGCAAACUUGGAAUUGAAUGAUAACCCAAGCAUAAAUUGCAGUAUAUACUUGUCUUAGAAUUUGCAUUAGCUUUUCCUCCAGGCUCGACACAAUGCUUAGAGGCAAUUCUAUACUAUAUAUGAGCACAUCAACCUAGAAAAUCUAGAUUUUGUACUGUAUUUUGGAGAUAGCAACUAUGUAACUGUGUCCUUAUUCAAUAAAGUGAAUUACUUA